GGUAGUAAUUACAAACCAUCAUGCAUUGGCGGUCCUUAACUACUAAAGAAACUCGCCCCAUAAUCGAAGACACCCGUUAAUUUUAACUAAAACACAAAGCCUAUAUACCGCCGUUAAGGGUUAAACAUAUAACACAAACCCAAUUACUUAAUCAACCAAAACUCAGGUCAAGGUGUAGCCUAUGCUUAGCCGAGGGUAAGUUACAUUAAAAAAAAUUUAAGAAAAUAAAACGAAAAUAGAAAUAGAAAGAGAAUUUACAUGUACAAUGCCUGGAUAAAACCCGCUUUAGAACAAUUCAAUAAGGAUGC
rnacentral:rRNA from 1 species